rnacentral:rRNA from 1 species
GAUGAACGCUAGCUACAGGCUUAACACAUGCAAGUCGAGGGGUAACGAGAGGAAAGCUUGCUUUCCUUGUCGACGACCGGCGCACGGGUGAGUAACGCGUAUCCAACCUGCCCCCAACUAGGGAAUAACCUUGCGAAAGUAAGACUAAUACCCUAUAAUUUCCUCAGAUGCCAUCUGACGAGGAAUAAAGAUUUAUCGGUUGUGUAUGGGGAUGCGUCUGAUUAGCUUGUUGGCGGGGUAACGGCCCACCAAGGCAACGAGCAGUAGGGGUUCUGGGAGGAAGGUCCCCCACAUUGGAACUGAGACACGGUCCAAACUCCUACGGGAGGCAGCAGUGAGGAAUAUUGGUCAAUGGGCGGAAGCCUGAACCAGCCAAGUAGCGUGCAGGAUGACGGCCCUAUGGGUUGUAAACUGCUUUUAUACAGGAAUAAAGUUAGCCACGUGUGGUUAUUUGUAGGUACUGUAUGAAUAAGGACCGGCUAAUUCCGUGCCAGCAGCCGCCGUAA